CAGAGGGUGCAAGCGUUAAUCGGGAAUUACUGGGCGUAAAGCGCGCGUAGGUGGUUCGUUAAGUUGGAUGUGAAAAUCCCCGGGCGUCAACCUGGGAACUGCAUCCAAAACUAGGCGAGCUAGAGUAGGGCAGAGGGUGGUGGAAUUUCCUGUGUAGCGGUGAAAUGCGUAGAUAUAGGAAGGAACACCAGUGGCGAAAGGCGACCACCUGGGGCUCAUACUGACACUGAGGUGCGAAAGCGUGGGGAGCAAACAGGAUU
rnacentral:rRNA from 1 species